CAGCAGCCGCGGUAAUACGGAGGGAGCUAGCGUUGUUCGGAAUUACUGGGCGUAAAGCGCACGUAGGCGGUUAUUCAAGUCAGAGGUGAAAGCCCGGGGCUCAACCCCGGAACUGCCUUUGAAACUAGAUGACUGGAAUCUUGGAAAGGUCAGUGGAAUUCCGAGUGUAGAGGUGAAAUUCGUAGAUAUUCGGAAGAACACUAGUGGCGAAGGCGACUGACUGGACAAGUAUUGACGCUGAGGUGCGAAAGCGUGGGGAGCAAACAGGAUUAGAUACCCCAGUAGUCCCUGUCUCUUAUAC
rnacentral:rRNA from 1 species